CUGAGGUGAAGCGGCCCGGAGCACUUUUAUAGUCGGGUGGAAUAACGCGGUCGAGACUUGACAGCUGGCGUUCUGGUUUGACAGCAACAAACAACCAGGUGUGAGCAGUUCUCCAGCUCAGUGGACUUCUUGAUGAGUGAUGGUGAGGACGAGGGUUCCUUCCUAUCUCUUCCCGCCUCCGCCUUCUCCCAGCGUCCCUCUCUGACCCCCGAAUUCUCUGAGGCCCACCUACCCGGCCAGCAGCUCCUCAUCCAG
ensembl:lncRNA